UACGUAGGUGGCAAGCGUUAUCCGGACUUAUUGGGCGUAAGGCGCGCGUAGGCGGUUUUUUAAGUCUGAUGUGAAAGCCCACGGCUCAACCGUGGAGGGUCAUUGGAAACUGGAAAACUUGAGUGCAGAAGAGGAAAGUGGAAUGCCAUGUGUCGCGGUGAAAUGCGCAGAGAUAUGGAGGAACACCAGUGGCGAAGGCGGCUCUCUGGCUUGUAACUGACGCUGAGGCUCGAAAGCGUGGGGAGCAAACAGG
rnacentral:rRNA from 1 species